GAGUUUGAUCCUGGCUCAGAACGUACGCUGGCGGCACGCCUAACACAUGCAAGUCGAACGAAGUAGCAAUACUCAGUGGCAGACGGGUGAGUAACAUGUAGGUAUCUGCCCUAUGGCCUGGAAUAACACGAGGAAACUUGUGCUAAUAACGGAUAAGUCUUUACGGAGAAAGCUUCAUGCACCAUUGGAUGGGCCUGCACUUGAUUAGUUUGUUGGUGGGGUAAUAGCCUACCAAGACUGUGAUCAAUAGCUGAUUUGAGAGGAUGAUCAGCCACAUUGGGACUGAGACACGGCCCAAACUCCUACGGGAGGCAGCAGUGGGGAAUCUUGCACAAUGGAGGAAACUCUGAUGCAGCGAUGCCGCGUGAGUGAAGAAGGCCCUUGGGUUGUAAAGCUCUUUCGUCGGGGAAGAAAAUGACUGUACCCGAAUAAGAAGGUCCGGCUAACUUCGUGCCAGCAGCCGCGGUAAUUCGAAGGGACCUAGCGUAGUUCGGAAUUACUGGGCUUAAAGAGUUCGUAGGUGGUUGAAAAAGUUAGUGGUGGAAUCCCAGAGCUUAACUCUGGAACUGCCAUUAAAACUUUUCAGCUAGAGUAUGAUAGAGGAAAGCAGAAUUUCUAGUGUAGAGGUGAAAUUCGUAGAUAUUAGAAAGAAUACCAAUUGCGAAGGCAGCUUUCUGGAUCAUUACUGACACUGAGGAACGAAAGCAUGGGUAGCGAAGAGGAUUAGAUACCCUCGUAGUCCAUGCCGUAAACGAUGUGUGUUAGACGUUGGAAAUUUAUUUUCAGUGUCGCAGGGAAACCGAUAAACACACCGCCUGGGGAGUACGACCGCAAGGUUAAAACUCAAAUGAAUUGACGGGGACCCGCACAAGUAGUGGAGCAUGUGGUUUAAUUCGAAGAUACGCGCAGAACCUUACCAACACUUGACAUGUUCGUCGCGACUCUAAGAGAUUAGAGUUUUCGGUUCGGCCGGACGAAACACAGGUGCUGCAUGGCUGUCGUCAGCUCGUGUCGUGAGAUGUUGGGUUAAGUCCCGCAACGAGCGCAACCCUCACUUUUAGUUGCCAUCAUUAAGUUGGGCACUCUGAAAGAACUGCCAGUGAUAAGCUGGAGGAAGGUGGGGAUGACGUCAAGUCCUCAUGGCCCUUACGUGUUGGGCUACACACGUGCUACAAUGGUAUCUACAACAGGAAGCAAGACUGCGAAGUUAAGCAAAUCCCUAAAAGAUACCUCAGUUCGGGUUGCACUCUGCAACUCGAGUGCAUGAAGCUGGAAUUACUAGUAAUCGUGGAUCAGCGUGCCACGGUGAAUGCGUUCCCGGGUCUUGUACACACCGCCCGUC
rnacentral:rRNA from 1 species